UACGUAGGGUGCAAGCGUUGUCCGGAAUUAUUGGGCGUAAAGAGCUCGUAGGCGGUCUGUCGCGUCGGCUGUGAAAACUCGGGGCUCAACCCCGAGCCUGCAGUCGAUACGGGCAGACUAGAGUGCUGUAGGGGAGACUGGAAUUCCUGGUGUAGCGGUGAAAUGCGCAGAUAUCAGGAGGAACACCGGUGGCGAAGGCGGCGACCUGGGUAGAUACUGACGCUGAGGUGCGAAAGCGUGGGGAGCAAACAGG
rnacentral:rRNA from 1 species